rnacentral:rRNA from 1 species
UGGGGAAUAUUGCACAAUGGGCGAAAGCCUGAUGCAGCGACGCCGCGUGAGGGAUGACGGCCUUCGGGUUGUAAACCUCUUUCAGUAGGGACGAAGCGCAAGUGACGGUACCUGCAGAAGAAGCACCGGCUAACUACGUGCCAGCAGCCGCGGUAAUACGUAGGGUGCGAGCGUUGUCCGGAAUUACUGGGCGUAAAGAGCUCGUAGGCGGUUUGUCACGUCGUCUGUGAAAUCCUAGGGCUUAACCCUGGACGUGCACGCGAUACGGGCUGACUUGAGUACUACAGGGGAGACUGGAAUUUCUGGUGUAGCGGUGGAAUGCACAGAUAUCAGGAAGAUCACCGAUGGCGAAGGCAGGUCUCUGGGUAGUAACUGACGCUGAGGAGCGAAAGCAUGGGUAGCGAACAGG